rnacentral:rRNA from 1 species
UGGGGAAUUUUGGACAAUGGGCGCAAGCCUGAUCCAGCCGUGCCGCGUGCGGGAAGAAGGCCUUCGGGUUGUAAACCGCUUUUGUCAGGGAAGAAAAGGUUCUGGCUAAUACCUGGGACUCAUGACGGUACCUGAAGAAUAAGCACCGGCUAACUACGUGCCAGCAGCCGCGGUAAUACGUAGGGUGCAAGCGUUAAUCGGAAUUACUGGGCGUAAAGCGUGCGCAGGCGGUUAUGCAAGACAGAGGUGAAAUCCCCGGGCUCAACCUGGGAACUGCCUUUGUGACUGCAUGGCUAGAGUACGGUAGAGGGGGAUGGAAUUCCGCGUGUAGCAGUGAAAUGCGUAGAUAUGCGGAGGAACACCGAUGGCGAAGGCAAUCCCCUGGACCUGUACUGACGCUCAUGCACGAAAGCGUGGGGAGCAAACAGGAUUAGAUACCCUGGUAGUCCACGCCCUAAACGAUGUCAACUGGUUGUUGGGA